GAAGGUCCUCGCCAGGUGCGUCCGCCCGUUGCUUUUUGUCCUCUUCGCCGGUCCUUAAGCUUUGAGGUAGAGCCCAGGCCAAAACUGGGACCGCAGCCUGGGUCUCCGCUGCCCCGCACCAGCCUGAGGCCCGGUCUCUGGUGACGGCGCGCCCCUAGUCUUGGUUUCGGGCCCGGCGGAACAACGCCUGGCAUCUGGACUCCAGUGAUCGCGCCCGUCCGCAUUCGCCGACGUCUCCACUGCUGAGCAAAAGCCACCCGAGGCUGGCGACAGUGUCUUGCCGGGGAGUAGUAGCCGGGCUGGUAACUGGAGUUUGAGAUUAGGAGACUUUCAGACCCUUGUGCACAAAGAGGUGCGGUCCCCGAGGCAGGAUGAAGUUAAAGGAAGUAGAUCGUACAGCCAUGCAGGCAUGGAGCCCUGCCCAGAAUCACCCCAUUUACCUAGCAACAGGAACAUCUGCUCAGCAAUUGGAUGCAACAUUUAGUACGAAUGCUUCCCUUGAGAUAUUUGAAUUAGACCUCUCUGAUCCAUCCUUGGAUAUGAAAUCUUGUGCCACAUUCUCCUCUUCU
rnacentral:lncRNA from 1 species